rnacentral:rRNA from 1 species
UUAAGUUAUUAAGGGCGCACGGUGGAUGCCUUGGCACUAGAAGCCGAUGAAGGACGUUACUAACGACGAUAUGCUUUGGGGAGCUGUAAGUAAGCUUUGAUCCAGAGAUUUCCGAAUGGGGAAACCCAGCAUGAGUUAUGUCAUGUUAUCGAUAUGUGAAUACAUAGCAUAUCAGAAGGCACACCCGGAGAACUGAAACAUCUUAGUACCCGGAGGAAGAGAAAGAAAAUUCGAUUCCCUUAGUAGCGGCGAGCGAAACGGGAAGAGCCCAAACCAACAAGCUUGCUUGUUGGGGUUGUAGGACACUCUAUACGGAGUUACAAAGGACGACAUUAGACGAAUCAUCUGGAAAGAUGAAUCAAAGAAGGUAAUAAUCCUGUAGUCGAAAAUGUUGUCUCUCUUGAGUGGAUCCUGAGUACGACGGAGCACGUGAAAUUCCGUCGGAAUCUGGGAGGACCAUCUCCUAAGGCUAAAUACUCUCUAGUGACCGAUAGUGAACCAGUACCGUGAGGGAAAGGUGAAAAGCACCCCGGAAGGGGAGUGAAAUAGAACCUGAAACCGUGUGCUUACAAGUAGUCAGAGCCCGUUAAUGGGUGAUGGCGUGCCUUUUGUAGAAUGAACCGGCGAGUUACGAUUUGAUGCAAGGUUAAGCAGUAAAUGUGGAGCCGUAGCGAAAGCGAGUCUGAAUAGGGCGUUUAGUAUUUGGUCGUAGACCCGAAACCAGGUGAUCUACCCUUGGUCAGGUUGAAGUUCAGGUAACACUGAAUGGAGGACCGAACCGACUUACGUUGAAAAGUGAGCGGAUGAACUGAGGGUAGCGGAGAAAUUCCAAUCGAACCUGGAGAUAGCUGGUUCUCUCCGAAAUAGCUUUAGGGCUAGCCUCAAGUGAUGAUUAUUGGAGGUAGAGCACUGUUUGGACGAGGGGCCCCUCUCGGGUUACCGAAUUCAGACAAACUCCGAAUGCCAAUUAAUUUAACUUGGGAGUCAGAACAUGGGUGAUAAGGUCCGUGUUCGAAAGGGAAACAGCCCAGACCACCAGCUAAGGUCCCAAAAUAUAUGUUAAGUGGAAAAGGAUGUGGCGUUGCCCAGACAACUAGGAUGUUGGCUUAGAAGCAGCCAUCAUUUAAAGAGUGCGUAAUAGCUCACUAGUCGAGUGACACUGCGCCGAAAAUGUACCGGGGCUAAACAUAUUACCGAAGCUGUGGAUUGUCCUUUGGACAAUGGUAGGAGAGCGUUCUAAGGGCGUUGAAGCAUGAUCGUAAGGACAUGUGGAGCGCUUAGAAGUGAGAAUGCCGGUGUGAGUAGCGAAAGACGGGUGAGAAUCCCGUCCACCGAUUGACUAAGGUUUCCAGAGGAAGGCUCGUCCGCUCUGGGUUAGUCGGGUCCUAAGCUGAGGCCGACAGGCGUAGGCGAUGGAUAACAGGUUGAUAUUCCUGUACCACCUAUAAUCGUUUUAAUCGAUGGGGGGACGCAGUAGGAUAGGCGAAGCGUGCGAUUGGAUUGCACGUCUAAGCAGUAAGGCUGAGUAUUAGGCAAAUCCGGUACUCGUUAAGGCUGAGCUGUGAUGGGGAGAAGACAUUGAGUCUUCGAGUCGUUGAUUUCACACUGCCGAGAAAAGCCUCUAGAUAGAAAAUAGGUGCCCGUACCGCAAACCGACACAGGUAGUCAAGAUGAGAAUUCUAAGGUGAGCGAGCGAACUCUCGUUAAGGAACUCGGCAAAAUGACCCCGUAACUUCGGGAGAAGGGGUGCUCUUUAGGGUUAACGCCCAGAAGAGCCGCAGUGAAUAGGCCCAAGCGACUGUUUAUCAAAAACACAGGUCUCUGCUAAACCGUAAGGUGAUGUAUAGGGGCUGACGCCUGCCCGGUGCUGGAAGGUUAAGAGGAGUGGUUAGCUUCUGCGAAGCUACGAAUCGAAGCCCCAGUAAACGGCGGCCGUAACUAUAACGGUCCUAAGGUAGCGAAAUUCCUUGUCGGGUAAGUUCCGACCCGCACGAAAGGCGUAACGAUUUGGGCACUGUCUCAACGAGAGACUCGGUGAAAUCAUAGUACCUGUGAAGAUGCAGGUUACCCGCGACAGGACGGAAAGACCCCGUGGAGCUUUACUGUAGCCUGAUAUUGAAAUUCGGCACAGCUUGUACAGGAUAGGUAGGAGCCUUUGAAACGUGAGCGCUAGCUUACGUGGAGGCGCUGGUGGGAUACUACCCUAGCUGUGUUGGCUUUCUAACCCGCACCACUUAUCGUGGUGGGAGACAGUGUCAAGCGGGCAGUUUGACUGGGGCGGUCGCCUCCUAAAAGGUAACGGAGGCGCUCAAAGGUUCCCUCAGAAUGGUUGGAAAUCAUUCAUAGAGUGUAAAGGCAUAAGGGAGCUUGACUGCGAGACCUACAAGUCGAGCAGGGUCGAAAGACGGACUUAGUGAUCCGGUGGUUCCGCAUGGAAGGGCCAUCGCUCAACGGAUAAAAGCUACCCCGGGGAUAACAGGCUUAUCUCCCCCAAGAGUUCACAUCGACGGGGAGGUUUGGCACCUCGAUGUCGGCUCAUCGCAUCCUGGGGCUGUAGUCGGUCCCAAGGGUUGGGCUGUUCGCCCAUUAAAGCGGUACGCGAGCUGGGUUCAGAACGUCGUGAGACAGUUCGGUCCCUAUCCGUCGUGGGCGUAGGAAAUUUGAGAGGAGCUGUCCUUAGUACGAGAGGACCGGGAUGGACAUACAUCUGGUGUACCAGUUGUCGUGCCAACGGCAUAGCUGGGUAGCUAUGUGUGGACGGGAUAAGUGCUGAAAGCAUCUAAGCAUGAAGCCCCCCUCAA